rnacentral:rRNA from 1 species
GACGAACGCUGGCGGCGUGCUUAACACAUGCAAGUCGAACGGUGAAGGGACCGGUUUUUGCUGGUUCUGGAUGAGUGGCGAACGGGUGAGUAACACGUGAGUAACCUGCCCCCUUCUUCUGGAUAACCGCAUGAAAGUGUGGCUAAUACGGGAUAUUCUGCGCCUGCUGCAUGGUGGGUGUGGGAAAGAUAUUGUUUCGGUGGGGGAUGGGCUCGCGGCCUAUCAGCUCGUUGGUGGGGUGAUGGCCUACCAAGGCGGUGACGGGUAGCCGGCCUGAGAGGGUGGACGGUCACACUGGGACUGAGACACGGCCCAGACUCCUACGGGAGGCAGCAGUGGGGAAUAUUGCACAAUGGGCGCAAGGCUGAUGCAGAGACGCCGCGUGAGGGAUGGAGGCCUUCGGGUUGUAAACCUCUUUCGCCAGUGAAGCAGGCCUGUCCCUUUUGUGGGUGGGUUGACGGUAGCUGGAUAAGAAGCGCCGGCUAACUACGUG